rnacentral:rRNA from 1 species
GACGAACGCUGGCGGCGUGCUUAACACAUGCAAGUCGAACGGUGAGGACCUGCUCUUGUUGUGUGCUCGAGUGUCGAACGGGUGAGUGACACGUGAGUAACCUGCCCUUUACUUUGGGAUAACUUCAGGAAACUGGGUCUCAUAUCGGAUAUGAGCUCCUGCUGCAUGUUUGGUGUUUGAAAAUUUCGGCGGUUGGGGAUUGACUCGUGGCUUUUCAGCGUGUUGGUGGGGAAGUGGCUUACCAAGGCUUUGACGGGUAGCCGGCCUGAGAGGGUGACAGGCCACAGUGGGACUGAGAUACGGCCCAGACUCCAACGGGAGGAAGCAGGGGGGAAUAUUGCACAAUGGGCGGAAGCAGGAUGCAGCAACGCCGCGUGCGGGAUGACGGCUUUAGGGUUGUAACCCGCUUUAGCCUGUGAAGAAGAGUGAGUGACGGUAAUGGGUAAAGAAGCACCGGCUAACUACGUG